rnacentral:rRNA from 1 species
CCUANGGGAGGCUGCAGUCGAGGAUCUUCGGCAAUGGGCGCAAGCCUGACCGAGCGACGCCGCGUGCGGGAUUAAGGCCUUCGGGUUGUAAACCGCUGUCAGAGGGGAUGAAAUGUAUGAGGGUACUCUCUCAUACUUGACAUAGCCUCAAAGGAAGUACGGGCUAAGUUCGUGCCAGCAGCCGCGGUAAGACGAACCGUACAAACGUUAUUCGGAAUUACUGGGCUUAAAGGGUGCGUAGGCGGCGGUGCAAGUUGGGUGUGAAAUCCCUCGGCUCAACCGAGGAACUGCGCUCAAAACUGCAUUGCUUGAGGGAGAUAGAGGUGAGUGGAACUUAGGGUGGAGCGGUGAAAUGCGUUGAUAUCCUAAGGAACACCAGUGGCGAAAGCGACUCACUGGGUCUCUUCUGACGCUGAGGCACGAAAGCUAGGGUAGCGAACGGGAUUAGAUACCCCGNUANUC